GACGAACGCUGGCGGCGUGCUUAACACAUGCAAGUCGAACGGAAAGGCCCUGCUUUUGUGGGGUGCUCGAGUGGCGAACGGGUGAGUAACACGUGAGUAACCUGCCCUUGACUUUGGGAUAACUUCAGGAAACUGGGGCUAAUACCGGAUAGGAGCUCCUGCUGCAUGGUGGGGGUUGGAAAGUUUCGGCGGUUGGGGUUGGACUCGCGGCUUAUCAGCUUGUUGGUGGGGUAGUGGCUUACCAAGGCUUUGACGGGUAGCCGGCCUGAGAGGGUGACCGGCCACAUUGGGACUGAGAGACGGACCAGACUCCUACGGGAGGCAGCAGUGGGGAAUAUUGCACAAUGGGCGGAAGCCUGAUGCAGCAACGCCGCGUGCGGGAUGACAGCCUUCGGGUUGUAAACCGCUUUCGCCUGUGACGAAGCGUGAGUGGCGGUAAUGGGUAAAGAAGCACCGGCUAACUACGUG
rnacentral:rRNA from 1 species